rnacentral:rRNA from 1 species
CCUACGGGGGGCUGCAGUGGGGAAUAUUGGACAAUGGGGGGAACCCUGAUCCAGCCAUGCCGCGUGUGUGAAGAAGGCCCUCGGGUUGUAAAGCACUUUCAGUGAGGAAGAACGCCUGGUGGUUAAUACCCAUCAGGAAAGACAUCACUCACAGAAGAAGCACCGGCUAACUCCGUGCCAGCAGCCGCGGUAAUACGGAGGGUGCGAGCGUUAAUCGGAAUUACUGGGCGUAAAGCGCGCGUAGGUGGCUUGAUAAGCCGGUUGUGAAAGCCCCGGGCUCAACCUGGGAACGGCAUCCAGAACUGUCAAGCUAGAGUGCAGGAGAGGAAGGUAGAAUUCCCGGUGUAGCGGUGAAAUGCGUAGAGAUCGGGAGGAAUACCAGUGGCGAAGGCGGCCUUCUGGACUGACACUGACACUGAGGUGCGAAAGCGUGGGUAGCAAACAGGAUUAGAUACCCGGGUAGUC